rnacentral:rRNA from 1 species
AUUGAACGCUGGCGGCAGGCCUAACACAUGCAAGUCGUACGAGUGGCGGACGGGUGAGUAAUGUCUGGGAAACUGCCCGAUGGAGGGGGAUAACUACUGGAAACGGUAGCUAAUACCGCAUACCAUCGGAUGUGCCCAGAUGGGAUUAGCUGGUAGGUGGGGUAACGGCUCACCUAGGCGACGAUCCCUAGCUGGUCUGAGAGGAUGACCAGCCACACGAGAACUGAGACACGGUCCAGACUCCUACGGGAGGCGGCGGUGGGGAAUAUGUCACAAGGGGAGCAAGCCUGAGACAGCCAUGCCGCGUGUAUGAAGAAGGCCUUCGGGUUGUAAAGUACUUUCAGCGGGGAGGCGGUACCCGCAGAAGAAGCACCGGCUAACUCCGUGCCAGCAGCCGCGGUAAUUC